CCGGGAAUUUCAGUUAAGCCUUUUCAGAGUCUUGUGUGAUGUAGGGAUGAGGGAGCUGUGAGAAAACAGGGAUUAGGUGUGUACAGAGUUGGCUAAAAGGGAGAUAUCACUGCUUAGUGUUAGUAUGUAUCAGAGAGGAAUUCAUGAGCUGGGUGCUGUGAUGGCAGUAAAUAUAUUGGAUGGAAAUAAUUGUGGAAUGGAAGGAGCCUGGUGUAUACAGUGGAUGGGCUGUUAAUGUGCCAGAGUGGUCUGGUGAGGUAUAUCCAACAGAAAAGAGGGAAGCUUACUGUCUUGAUUCAAAGAUGUUUGUGAGAAUCCAUUUAAAUUUUGCUGGCACAGGUGCCCAGAGGCUGUUGAAUAACCAUCCUUGGAGCUGUGCAAAGCUUGACUGGAUGGGGCACUGAGCAACUUGAUCACACUUUGAACUAUAUUUAAGUGAGGAGGUAGCCUAGAUGACUUCUAGAGGUGCCUUCCACCUGAAUGAUCCCAUGCUCCAUUGGAACAAAGAAGCUCCCAGAAACCGUUCACAGCACAUGAGUGAGAAGCAGGAGGAAAGAAAGGAUAAGUCCUCAAACCCCAAAGUGCUGUUAUGUCAGACCUUUAAAACAGGAUUAUUUUAUACAUGUAGGUGGUAUGUAGGAAAGAGACUGAGCACCAGGGUGUUCUUUCCAGGCUGUAAGCCUUACAGGGAAGACAUGCAGGGACAAGACAGAAUGUCUUGCGAACUCUUAUGUUUAGGUCUCACAGCUUCGCAGCAACAACAAUCCCUUCUUAGCAUUUUUUGAUAGAGAGGAACUCAGGAAAUUAUUUAUUGGCUGUCUUUAUCACUCAUUUCCUCAGUAUAGCUUUCACAAGGUUCAGGGAAAAGCUUUGCAGGAAAGCUGAAGAUGGCCAAGUAAUGAACAAAAGAGAUGUGCUGAAGUUUGGGAAGAAUCUUAUUUUUCAGUGGAAAAAAAAGUACAUCUGAGGCAGAAAUAGGAUUAAAAAAAAAAAAAAAAAAAGGAGUGGUGGGAAAAGGAAAGAACCAAAACAGAAGCAAGGAGAAGAAGGAGAAAGAGGAGCCAGAAGUCCAGAUUUGCUAAAGAGAUUAGAAAAUUUGAUUUUUUUUGGCAGAUACACAGCCUCUCCUAAAUCAUUUAGAAAGUGAAAUGAAGUGGGGAAGAAAAAUUGACCUGUUUUUGAGCCAUGGAAUUACAGAGCUUGCAAAAGAUGGGGUAUCUAGCCACAAAACCAACAAAUUGACUCAACCUUCUCUCCCUAGCAACUCAUCUUCUCCAGUGAGCCUAAGUGGGUUGGUAGGAUUAUCUCCAGGGGAAAGAGGCAGUUGAUUCAUCAGGCCCAUCCAUACUGAGACUUUCUUGUUUAUAACUCAGUUUUCUUCCAAUGUCAUUCCACUGAAACAAAUUCAAGCAAUUUAGCUCUUUGUCCAGUAGACCUAUAUUAACAGAGAAACACAUGUGCAAGGACUGGGCUUAUAGUUUACUGAGCUCAAUAGAAAUACUAUAACUAGAUGGCCAGGAUAACAUUUUUUAAAACAGUAUUUAUUUUUAUAUUGAAGUAGCAGGCAAAAAGAUAAACAGAGAAGGGCAAAAUGGAAUAAAUUAAAAGAUAUUUUCAUGUGAGAGGAUAUCUUAUUCACUGGUUUUAUUUGUACCUGGUAGGAAAACCUCCACAUGCUUUUGGUAAUCUGUAGAUAGGGCUACAACUCUGAUGCUAAAGAGGUACACAAUGAGUUGUACGAUUUCUAGUGACUUAAGGCUCAGCUUGCCCUAGGCUAUAUACUCAAAAUGUGGUUUCACAGCACCAAUCUCAUCAGGAGGAUACCACAGUAGCAGUGCCACCCUUACAUCAUGCAUUAAAUAAGCAUCACAGAGAGCAAAAGGAUAAACAUACUGUCUGGAAGGGAGGGUAAAGGUAACAGCCCAAAUCCCAGGUUUCCCUGACUCACUGCUGCAUUGUGGCUGUGUCCUCCAGCUGUUUCCAAAUGUCCGUGUCAGAGGAAAAAGGGAAGGUGAAAGGCCAUCCCUUGAGCAGAAACCCGAUGUACCUGCUGAGAAUAAAAUAGAGAAGCCACAAGCCUUGCAGAUGGCUGAAGUGCUGAAGGCAUUUCCCAUAUUUCCAAGAAGCUUGCAAAGAGGAAAAAAGGAAUGUUAUCCCCUUACCUCCCUUCCCAAUUUCCUCAGCUCUUUGUUCUGAUUUUUCAUAGACUAAAGAUGAUUCACUGAGUAACUGACCCAAAUGUGUUCAGUGCUUCUUGAGAGCUGUGGCCAGUGUAACAGCAAGCCAUAAGGGCAAAUGCAGGAGUGAUGGCAGUGACUUCUCUCAAAGGGAGGGCAAGAGCCGUUGUUCAAAUCUUUCCAGGAUUGUGCAGGGUUCUCUCCUGCUUCCUUUUUUGUGAAGGUGACUGUGAUGAACUGGGGUGCCUCCUGUGUGUGACAAAACAGUGCUGCCCAGCUGAGUGUGGCUGCUAGCUGUAGCAAUAUUACAAUGAUUAGUCAAACCAGCAGUCUCUAGUAGAUUAACUACAGCCGUUCACUUCAUUGAACAAGCAUUGUACAGGAAUUCAGAAUGCAAACUAUACUGUCCAAACACACCUAAUGAAUUAGCAUUAAAGCUCACAUGAAAAUCCUUGAGGUCAAAUGCUAAUUUUGAAUGCCUACAUUAACUAGUUAUUUGCAUCUUCAAAAGUAUUUAACUGAUGUUUUGCAUGAACAUGUCUUUACCAAUAAUUCAAGAUGUGACAAUUUAUAUGUCUAGAGUUACAAUUAAAAGUAAGAAAACUCAGACCUGGUGGUUAACUGUAAAAUGCAGUGAACCUGAACCCAAGGGUAAUUCAUUGGCUGUUUUCUACUGAUGGUGUUUCAAUGGCCAACUUAAAGAUAUUGAUGCUUCAUCAACUGAAUGAGAAUAUGCAGAUUUUUCCCGCAUCAUACAAGCUAAGAGAGAUCCCAGCACAGCUCUAAUCAGAACAGCAGCAGAGCACAUUGCGAUUACAUAUCUGUUUUUUCUCAGCACCACCCAGAGCGAGACUCAUUACAAUUGGAUUCAUUAAAAAAACACUCUUAAUAUUUACAGCACUCUCUUAUAAUUGACCAUCAGGUGUCUGGAGUUUAAACACAUAUUCAUUAGGAUUGUGGUAGGCAUUUUGUCAUAGCUGUAAAUGUUAUGCUCCAUUCCUCCAGCUUCAGGGUUUGCUAUGAGCUGCGCUUGCUCCCUACAGCCUUUAAAAGAUACUGAGCUUUGUGAAUUUUUCCUGUUAAUAUCGACUGUAUCUCAGACAAGUGGAGUUUUAAUAAAUUCCCAAGUCUUUCAGGCUAGCAGUGGAGGUGGCACUCUCUGAAAGAAGUUACAAAAGUUAAACUUGGAAAAUAUUUAGCCUAUAUUGGAGCUUGCGGCUUGCAGGCACCAUCACAUUCCUCUCUACAGCUGUGUAUUCAGAAGUUGUUGAAAGUUAAGUUUUCUUACUUUUUUUGAUGAUUAUUUUGCAGCAAUGUAACAGGGUCAUAGACACCAGUGAAAGCUGGACAGGAUCCUCCAAGUGCUUUGGAUAUUUUUGGAAAAACAUGGUACAUGGCUGUUUCCUAUAAGUGUGACUGAUUGCUUCAUCCCAGUAUCACUUCUUCCAGCCUCCCUUUUCUCUCCUUACCACAUAUCGUGCUAUGUAACCACAGCUUCUCAGACUGAUUCUGGGGCUGUGAGCCUUUCAGCAAAGAAUGUUAUUCUGUUCAUCAUUUCCCUCGACCUAAUUUCUUUGUACGUGCAGGAGUGCCUAGCAUUAGCACUGGCUGGCCUCAUGUCACCAUUGCUGGUCUUUGCUGCUGAAGUAUUAACAUUUCUGUCCUUAUGGGUAAUUCUCACUGAGAAAAUCUGGCUGCUUCUUCUUCUUCUUGGCCAACAACAAGGGUUACUUGAAAAAUAAAUUGUGUAAAGCGUAUUCUGGUGCAAGAGGGCUGAGAAGGUGCUGGUUGCCCAGCACUGGGCAAGGAUGUGAAACUUUCCCAGUUCUCAUUUCAGCUCAGUAAUACUUGCCAGGGUUUUGACUACGUACACCAGCAGCAGAAACUUCUGAGAGAAACUGGCCUGACUCACUGCCAUCAAUUUGGCUGCUGAUGCUAUUGCUGGAUUUCCUUGCAAUCAGAGAUCACAGCCUCUAAACAGUGCAGCUUCCCAGCAAUAUGCUGUAGGAAAGAACAUAGACACUAAGCCUUUUAUAAUGUUUGGCUUAAUAGCAAUUUAUAUGAAAAACAACCGACAUACACAAGCACCCCCCCCCGAAAUAGGAUGACCUUUUCUUACAGCGGGCUGAAAGCUGUGUACUCUUUUUACAUCUCCCUGUUUGACCACUGUGCUUGUUUUUCAGUAGUGAUGGGGACUGGCUCAUCACAAUAUUUUGGCUUUUAAUCAGGUUAAAUAAUGCAGCUUUAUCCUGACUAUUUUGAUUCUCUCUAAUUAUCCUGAACAUUGCUGUAACUGUGGCAUAAGGCUGUGUUCUGAGCUACCUGUUCAUCCAUGCUUCAUGUGCUAACAGGUGUCCUGCUCGGACCGUGCUGUCUGUGUCAGGCUGUGAGGUCAGACAUGAGCUAUUUCCCACGAUCAGCUUGAUGUGCUGCAUGUACUAGCUUUUAACAGCCUGAUUCACACACCUCUUUGGCAAAAAACCCCAAAUGCAUGGCUUUCGCAAAAUGGACACUUUUUUCUCUUUAGAAGGAGAGAAAGUGAAACCCAUCAACAGUUGGUGAGUGAUAUUGGAUAAUGGGACAUAUUGCCAAACUGUCCCAUUACUAUGAGAUAAAAUAAUGUUAGAAUCACCCUUGGGCUGACUGUGGAAAAAAUAAUGACAACAGAAUAAAGUGCAUUUGCCACACAGAAUACAGUAUUAGUCAUCUAGAAGCAUGGUGCGUAUGUGCCUUUUCUGGAAGGGGAGUUCAGCACUUUUUGCAGAGAAAUGAAGGCCAAGAAUGCUACAUUUUCACACUCUGAAGAAGAGUGUGAAGAGAAGAUCACACUAACACUCUUCGACCUCUACUUAGCAUGGGUAAAAAGCUGCCCGUUCUUUGCUUUCGAGGCCCUGGGGAUGGAGGUUACAGGAAACUGAGGGCAGUAACAAAAAGACUCCACAUCGGAGAUUUUUGCAGUAAAUGUAGUGACUAAGGUCAUUGUGUUUGAAGUAGCUCUCUUGAGCAUCUUCUGGCAGUAUAUUCGUGGCAGCACAAGGUUCACUAGAAAGUGCAAAUCUUUCCUAGAAAUCUGGGGAAUUAAUUGAGUACUUAUCCUAAAUUCAGUAUUGCCAUGAUUAAUUUAAAAGCUUAGGUAUAACAGGAUAUAACUAUCUAAAAUAUCAAACUUACCUUGUUGGAUUUAAGGUCUGACUCUAGCCCUAGACCUUAUGUUUUAAAAAAAGCUGCUACAAGAGAACAGCAAUACUACACGUAGUCUUUCCUUCAGGUGAGGAAUGGAGAAACAUAUGACAACAUCCUCUUUGUGGGAAUUUACAGUUGUUCUUUGGUACUGAUAGUAUUUUGUAUCAACAUUCAUGGACAAAAUGAAGGGAUAUGAAAUGCACUGAAGACUAAACUGCAGAAGACUACAUGCAGAAAGGCUACUGAAACCAGCAGCUGUUUUUGUGUAUGGUUUAAUUUAUUUCUCUGCUACAGAGCUGGGCAAAUAGUCCUUGUGAGCAGUUCAGUUUCAUUUUCUCCAACAUAUGUAUAUAUUUUCUCCAGAAUGUACAGCUCAUUCAUCCUACAUCUCCUGGAAAGGCGGGGGAGCUCUCUGUAAGACAGCCACCAGAUACUCCCAUGCCCAUGUCCGCUCUCCAUGAGCUCUGCAGUGCCUCUGCGUCAAGAGAAGUGCAUGGGGAGCCAGGGGGGGUGGCAGUGAUGGGACAGGGAUGAAGGGGGAAGGCUGUCAAAGACAGCAGUAGAUGAAGGGCAUGGGGUUACAGUCGCAGUCUGGGGAAAUGUUAAAGCACCUGCAAGGUGGUGAGUUUCUUUGCUGUACCAAAGUUGUACUAGAUAAAUUUUUAGGACCAUUUGGUGUACAAGGAAUGUAAAAUGGUCUCUGAUAUAAUGUGGAAACAACUAUCCCCAAAUGAGUUACUUAAGUUGAAAAACUACUUAUUUUUUGGCAGUGGAAAAUUGCUUGGAUGAAAACGUAAAAAAAAAAAAAAAAAAAGUUUAGCAGCCUUUUGGAAUAUUUCACAUUUCUUAGGAAUGGCGUGGGUUUUCUGGAGCAACAGAGUAGGAUUUUUAAAAUAGCAUCAUGGAUUCCUACUAUCUUUCUAACAGCUAAUCAGUAGUUUUACACCAGGAUGAAUUCUUUUUAUCAAACGUAUAUGAGGUCCUCUUUGAUUGCUCAGUGACAACUUCCUACAAAGUCCUAAAAAUAAAGAAUAUUUCCCAAGUGUUCUGUAAAUAGCAGAACUCAUUGUUGGCCAAAAUGGUUGGAACAUUUUUCUUACCUUAUCAUAUUCAUGAAUUAUUUUUACUCUGUUACUUUGCACAAUAUCGCUACAAUAUCUGCCUAGUAAUAUUUUAGUAAGAGUCUUCGUUCUAUAAGUAUGCUUUAAACAUCUUGUGAAUCCCCUGGCUGCUAAUUUUGAUGAGCAAGAUGCACACAUCUGGCACUUAGUCUUUGUGCAAAGUCCUGCUUUGUAGUUCAGCAUUAGGUUCAGUGUUUAAUAGACCCCUAUUCUUCCUUCUGCUCCAACACAUAAAAAUCCUAUGGUGACUCUUGAAUAAGAUGCCCUGACUAAUAUACCAUAUUAAGGAGGUGGGAUAUUGUAUAUAGACAAUGAAACCUUCAGUUUAUGUUUUGAAAAAGGUUUUGUGUCCUUGUUAGUGUUUAUAUAACACUAAUAGCCAGUUUAGAUAUAUUGUAAUGAGUUUGAUCUGUAAAAGUCUCAUUAGUUGCUCUCUGACUGAGUUAAGGAAACUGGAAGCAACAGGCAGAAGAGGAGGGGCAAAUUCAGCUGUUAUUUGAGAAAGUGUAGUAACUGGUUAGUCUGGGAAAUUAUGCAGACAUCACUUUAAGAUAGACAUGACAGCUGUGAAUUGUGGUAUUUGUUACCCACGUUCUCAUGCGUUAUUAGGCUUGUUCAUCAAAUUAUAGAAUUAAUAGCUUGCACAAUCCAUGUAAUUUGUUCCUUUUAAAUUCCCUCCCUUGAAGUCUCAAUCAUAGUGUGUUCCAGUAGGUCAACAGCAGAGGGUUUUUUUCCUUCCUGGUAUUUGUCUGAAGCUUCAAAUAAUGUUGGUUUAGUCCUUACAAAUUGAAAGCAUCCAAUAGAAGUUGGACAUAUCUCUUGCCUCAAAGUUGUCAGACGACCCUGUAAAAUCCCACACAUGCACCUCCGCCGAGUGGAGGGAGAAAGCAAAAUGAGGGAAGGAGAGUCACCGCUAUACUGUACAGCUGGCUGGCAGGAGGUGCAUCAGCAGAAUGACUCUUGACACAAUCAAGUAGGACGCGGGGGGCCACGAACAAAUAAUUAGGCUUAUUUCUCCUCAGGGCUUUGUUCACUGCUGGAAAUUAUAUGCAAAAUGGAAGAAGCAGAUUAGGAAUGAGGUCUGAGGGGACACUGAAAAUUUGCUCAUACUGUAACCACCUUUGCUGAAAGAGAAAUCCCCAAGGGUUAAUUUGCUUCUGCAGAAUUGUCUCAACACUUUGAGAAAAUAAAACAAUGAAAC